GGAAGGGCAACAACGCGGGCCAGCAACAAAUUGAGAAGGAACAACACACAUUUACAGCACGUCUAGUACCAGUAGAGGAGGGGACAUCACUUAAAAAUACACGCAACCCUAGGGGGAUAUUCCUAACAGCCGCCACGGAGAAUAAUGCUUUGGCUUUAAAAGAAUGUAGCUGCAGGUGAAGAGAGGAGUUUUUAGGGAGAUUGAAAUUGGAAGGAGAGAAGUGAAGAGACAGUGACGUAGAAUGGAGGGCGAUGUUAUUUAAGCUGUGGUGUCAUGUGUUACCAAUAAGGAGUAUUGGUAAAUCUUGAAGAAAAUUGUUUUGAUGCUGCUACAAGAAGUUUUAUUUGAAGAGAACAUUAGAAUUAUUUAAAAGCAAUUUGUAGAAAUUGAAUGUAGUAGGAAAGUCUUAAAUAAAUUGUAAACCUUGUAUUUUCUACUGGAACAAUCAAUUAUGGACAAGCAAAAAUCGAUUAUCACUUGUAUUUUCUAUUAG
rnacentral:lncRNA from 1 species